ACAACGCCAGGGGUGGCACUCAUAUGCUACUGUGUCAACAUGACUGUGCUCAUGAACUCUACUCCCUAUCCCUAGGGAGAUGAAAGUUCUGCAUUUGGGUGUGAGAAUUCUUCUGAACUAGCUCAAACAACAGAGGUGCUGCAAAUUGACAAUCCCAGGAUCCUGCACAGUCUGGGGCCUGGUGGAGGUCUCAAUGCCAUGCCGUUGAGCUCUGGUGAGGCAAGGGAAGAGAGAAGUUGAAUUUUGAAGGACUUUUGAAGGAAUCUCUUCUUGAAGUUCCCUAUUCUAUCUUGGAUUAAUAAGACCAGGCAGAGUAACCAUGACAACCCUCUGUCAGUCUCCAGUGCAUUGGAUGCCACCACCACACAGGCUUUCAUCCUGGACCUAACUGCUCCACUGGUAACACUACCUAAACUAGCCCUUGGAGCCCAUCAGACUGCCGACCAUCUCUAGCCUCCUUGCAGAGCUUGCUUAAAAACCUACUGUAAUGCUUAUUCCAGUAGAAUUGGAUAAAUAUCUUAUAUUUCUGUAUCUUCCAUAAAUCUACAGACUCCUUGAACACAGAGACUGUAUCUGUUUCUUUCUGAAUUCUCAUCUUUCACACAGGUCCUGGCAAAGACAAAGUCAUUUGUACAAGACAUUCAGGUAUCUCUCCACUUGUAUACAAUUUGUUCUUGACCUAGUUAUUUGCCCCUAGGUCAAAUAACUAGGAAGUGGCAAGACCCCAGGGAGAGUUCCAGGCAGGGCUGGUCAGCCCCUAUCUGCUCUGCUUAGGAAGGCUGUGAGUUAACUAAAGUUGAAUUGAUUUCCAUUUUGCAAAUAAUGUCAAAGGCAAAUAAGAAAGCAACAUUUAAACAAAGACGGCUAAGCACAGUAAAAUUGUUCUGACCCUAACUAGUUGUAUAUCACUGGGGAGAUCUUUUGGCCUCUCUGACAAAUUAGGAAUUUGGUCUCGGAGAUGCUAUCUAUAUCUGUAGUCUCCUAUGGGGCAAAAGUCUUUGGAAGGGGUUUGAAGAAACAGCAAAGUUAAAAGGAACUGGACGAUCCAGCUGAUGGUUAUGAAAGUGGCUGGCAUAGACCUGGGUAUAUAGGGCCAGUUGUCUGUAUCUGCCAAGGUCUUUAUUUGCAGAUUUAACCAACUAUUUUGGGAAAAAAUUGUCUGCACUGAACAUGUACUUUUUUUCCUUGUUAUUUUCCCAUUUCCAUAGAUUUUGCAUUGUAUCAGAUACUGUAAGUAAUCUAAAGAUGAUUUAAAGUAACAGGUGGAUAUGUGUGGGUUAUUUGCAAAUACUUUGACAUUUUAUAGAAGGAACUCUAACAUCCAAGAAUUUUGUGGGUCAACACACACACAUUGUCUGUAUAUUGUGUUAUUUCAUGUCACUAUUCUGUUGUUGUUGCAGGUAAAUUCCCUCAUGGGCAGGAAACGCACCAACUCUUUAGAGACUAAACAUAGGCCAUUUGUCUUACAGAAGAAACUUAAACUCAUGAGGCGUUCCCCCUCUCCUUUCUUUUUCCCUUCACUCGUCUUUCUCUUCUUGCCCUGUCGAACUUGCAAGUCCUCCUCCACCUCUCCCCAAAGCCUGGCAUUGGCUCCUUCAUUUAUCAGAUGUUUUUUAGCAAUAUUAGUGCUAUAAAAUCUGGUGUGGCUGAACAGGCCUUGAGUGAGGAAGGAAGACUAAAGCCUCCUGCUUAUGGGAUUUAGAGGAGGCUCAGACCCUGAUGGCACCAGCAAAAGGCAGCCAACUACAGGCAGGAAGAUGGAGAAUAAUACCAGCCAGCGCCUCUGCAGAGGAAAUGAGUCCAAAACUCACCUUAUUUGGUGCUUCAGUUGAAGAAGCCACCUGUCUCAUUUACCACAGAAGCAGUUUUUUUCAUCCCUUUUUCAAGAUCAAGCCCUGCUGCUUUGAGGAAUGAAUCAGAGAUACUACACUUGUCACAAAAAUAACUAAUGGAAGUGAUUUAUCUUUUUCUUAUUAUAUCACAUGGGAAAGGGCAACAAUCACACGUAAGAUCUAAUUCUCAUUGCUUUAUUGAUCAUGUCUGAAUGCUGACCAUGUUUGUGCUGAAGAAACAAUGUGAGGUCUCAGAUUCUCCAAAAUGGGCAGGCCAGAUUACUUAAUCAAAUCUACAGUAGGAAGUCCAGAGCGGAACAAUGCACUGGCUGGAGUGUUUUGACUUCACUGUCUCCAUGGUAACACACAUGAACAAAUUAAGAAAAAUACGAACAAUUUGUCUUAAGGGUAGGGGUUUGCCAAAUCUUAUUUAGUCUACUGAGUUUUUAAAUUAAUGAUAUUUUAAGUGAUUAAAAUGUUUUCCCAGGAAUUCUCAUGGAAAAAUCUAUUGUGUUUACUAACUUUGAUAUAAUUAAAUGUCCAUAUUGUUGGUGCAAAUUGGUUGUGCAGUGAAAACUAUGAGCUUGCGUAAAUUAAUGUAUAAGCAUUUCAAUAAAGGCUAUGUUGGUAAGAAGUCAAAAUAACCGCUUAAAACCGAAAACUUUUUUUAAUUUAGAUUGUUGAACACUUUAUGAAGUGUUCAUAAAGGCAUGUAAAUACAUCUUUUGUGUGUGUGUGUGUUGCUGUUUUUGAAACCGAGUCUCACUAUAUAGCCCAGGCUGAUCUUAAACUGAAGAACCUCUGCAUCAGUCUCCCCAGUGCUGGGAGCACACCAUCAAGCCCAGCUCAAAUACAUUUUAAAUUUGAAUUUAGACAAAUUAUUCUGGUGUAUGCAGGCUGUGUACUUGGGGGUAAACUAAACACAAUGAAAGCAAGGUUGUUGGAUCCCAGGAUGCAUGAAAGCUUGACACUCAUGAUAGCAAAGUCCAAGGACUCUCAGUUCACGUUCAAUCUGGAAUAUUUAGAAGCCAUUGUCAUCUAUGAAAGGCCCAGGAGUGGUACAUAACAACAUCCACUGCCUCGCAAGGCUACAGAAUGGGUCAAGAAUGAAGUGCUGCUGGAGGGUCAGGAAACAAUGGCAGUGUGCCUCCUUUCGCUCUAUGGUUAAUUGCAAGGGUAGCUAGAGCUAUGGAAGAGAGGUUUGGUGAAGAGUUAAAAAACAAAAAAGCGAAAAACCUGAGCUUCAAGCACUUGCCAGAGUGCUAGAGCUCUCUCCACACUUGGUGUUAAAUGACCCAACACAAGGAAGCCAUUGUUCCUGCUCUAACUAGUGUGGGUCCUGAAAGAAGGGGCAAUAGACAAUGCAGCUCCUCAGGAUGGAGAAGGGGAAAACUAGACAGAGAGAGAGAGAAUGAGAGACAGAGUGAGAGAGAGAGGUAGAGAGAGAGAGUUAUCUUUCAUAGUUCUUCAGCGAAGCUGGAGAUCCUACUAAAGAAAUAUGCUGUGCAUUUGUGACCUCUUUCUCCAUCUCUCCAUAGCUCUCUCUUUCUCUUGAUUUUUCAUUGUCUCACUUUCUCUGUUUAAGAAUCACAUUCCAUACUAUACCAUUAUCAUUCUUAGUUAAUAAAACUUCAUAAGGUUCUGAGUUUUGUGACUGUAUUGUUAACCAUACGUUGCUACUCUGGGAGACUGAAUGACAAUUCUGGUCAAGAUUCUGUGCACAAAGUAAGCAAAGCAGUCAACCAGUGCUUCCCAACACUCUCUCUUAACCAUCCUGUGUCUGAGUCACGAGAAGAGGACUUCUGCUUCAAUCAGCCCAUAAAGCAGGAGACACAAACUCAACAAAUCAACUAGACUCCAAAAUAGAUUUUCUCCUGGUAUUCUUCCUUCUCUUUUACAACUAUGGUUUGAGUAGAGUUUAGAUACACUGCAUAAGCAAUUAGCUCAAGAGAGAAAAGAUAUAAAAUCCAGAGAAUGAAGUUAGCUAUUGGUUCUCAUUUCUGAAUCUUACUGGUAUCCAUUAGCUGCAGUUUUUGGACUUCAGAAAAUGUGUUUGCUAAAAGACUAGAUCUGAAGUAUUCUCACUGUACACACAACAAGGUAACUGCAUCAGAGAUGAAGCCAGGACAUCUGGCUUGAUUGUUACAAUUAACUCACGAUGAAUUUCUACAUCAAAAUCCCACCUUGUGCACCUUGAAUAUAUACAAAUUUGUCAGUCAUACCUCAAUAAAAAA